GAUGAACGCUGGCGGCGUGCCUAACACAUGCAAGUCGAGCGAGAAGGUAGUGAGUGAUUCUUCGGAUGAGUGAUCUACCAGACAGCGGCGGACGGGUGAGUAACGCGUGGGUAACCUGCCUUAUACUGGGGGAUAACGUUUUGAAAAGAACGCUAAUACCGCAUAAGCGCACAGUAUCGCAUGAUACAGUGUGAAAAACUCCGGUGGUAUAAGAUGGACCCGCGUCAGAUUAGCUAGUUGGUGAGAUAAUAGCUCACCAAGGCAACGAUCUGUAGCCGACCUGAGAGGGUGAUCGGCCACAUUGGGACUGAGACACGGCCCAAACUCCUACGGGAGGCAGCAGUGGGGAAUAUUGCACAAUGGGGGAAACCCUGAUGCAGCGACGCCGCGUGAAGGAUGAAGGAUUUCGGUUCGUAAACUUCUAUCAGCAGGGAAGAUAGUGACUGUAC
rnacentral:rRNA from 1 species